rnacentral:rRNA from 1 species
UGGGGAAUAUUGCACAAUGGGGGAAACCCUGAUGCAGCGACGCCGCGUGAACGAAGAAGGUAUUCGUAUCGUAAAGUUCUGUCCUAUGGGAAGAUAAUGACAGUACAAUAGAAGAAAGCUCCGGCUAAAUACGUGCCAGCAGCCGCGGUAAUACGUAUGGAGCGAGCGUUGUCCGGAAUUAUUGGGCGUAAAGGGUACGCAGGCGGUUUAAUAAGUCGAAUGUUAAAGAUCGGGGCUCAACCCCGUAAAGCAUUGGAAACUGAUAAACUUGAGGAGUGGAGAGGAAAGUGGAAUUCCUAGUGUAGUGGUGAAAUACGUAGAUAUUAGGAGGAAUACCAGUAGCGAAGGCGACUUUCUGGACACAAACUGACGCUGAGGUACGAAAGCGUGGGGAGCAAACAGG